rnacentral:lncRNA from 1 species
UAUUAUAAUCUCUGGCUUUGAAUCGUUUCAAUUCCCCGUUUAGUUCGUCUGAUUAGAACCAAAAAGGGGAGGGGGUGUAUUCAUUCGUUGGACUCCGUUAAAAACAAAAAAACGUUUUGCAUCAACAACAACAACAACAACAAACAGUUUUAGUUCGUUUUAGUUUUAUGCUUUUCCACGCGAUGCCAUUCCAAUCUGAAUAGUCUGUGAAAUGGUUAGGGGGGGAGGCAGGUAGCCUAGUGGUUAGAGUGGAGGGACGGCAGGUAGCCUAGUGGUUAGAGUGGAGGGACGGCAGGUAGCCUAGUGGUUAGAGUGGAGGGACGGCAGGUAGCCUAGUGGUUAGAGUGGAGGGAUGGCAGGUAGCCUAGUGGUUAGAGUGGAGGGACGGCAGGUAGCCUAGUGGUUAGAG